AUCUUUUUAGUAUUAAAGCUAGUACAUGUGGCCUCCACCCACUUAGUCUUGGUUAAACUCCAAGAAAAGAUA
rnacentral:tRNA from 1 species